GGGGAUGACUGGCUUUGACAGCGUGUAGAAGCGGUAAGUAAGCAUGCAGAGCUUUGGUGUUCAAGCUCUAUAAUAACAAGAGCAUCGAACUAUAAUUGGCGAAAAUAACAAUUACGCUCUCGCUGCGUAAUCCGAAGUACAGUAGGAUUCCUUUAUUCUCCUCAAAGUGAGGAGAACGAGACACCAUCCCAUUGCCCCGUUCCGAGACGUUUGGACAAGAUGGUGCAGAGAAAAUCGGAAAUUGGAGACCGGAAGCCUUGGCCGGAAUCUGAAAUUUAAAGGAUAAGGGUAAUAUUGGUGGUCGUGAGCCUGUAUUACUUCGAAAAUCAAGUCAAUGACUAAGCAUGUAGAAAGCUUAUUGAUUCCACGUUUGGACGAGGGUUCAAACCCCUCCAUCUCCACUA
rnacentral:tmRNA from 1 species